UUUCUUGACUCCAACGGCUCUAUUUUUGUCUCUAACGGCUAGAUUUUUGUUUCCACGCCAUCUAAAGCUAUAAAAUCAAGAGGAGAGCUAGGGUAGAAGGUAUGAAAGUGGGAGAGAACAUUUAGGGAAGAGAUUUCAAAGAGAUUAUAAGAAAAAUCUUCCAAAAGCACAAAAGGGCCAUUCAAAGUAAAAGAGAGAG
rnacentral:lncRNA from 1 species